CGGUGACAAACCGGAGGAAGGUGGGGAUGACGUCAAAUCAUCAUGCCCCUUAUGACCUGGGCUACACACGUGCUACAAUGGGAAGUACAACGAGUCGCGAAGUCGCGAGGCUAAGCUAAUCUCUUAAAGCUUCUCUCAGUUCGGAUUGCAGGCUGCAACUCGCCUGCAUGAAGCCGGAAUCGCUAGUAAUCGCGGAUCAGCACGCCGCGGUGAAUACGUUCCCGGGCCUUGUACACACCGCCCGUCACACCACGAGAGUUUGUAACACCCGAAGUCGGUGAGGUAACCUUUUGGAGCCAGCCGCCUAAGGUGGGAUAGAUGAUUGGGGUGAAGUCGUAACAAGGUAGCCGUAUCGGAAGGUGCGGCUGGAUCACCUCCUUUCUAAGGAA
rnacentral:rRNA from 1 species